rnacentral:rRNA from 1 species
GUCUUGAAACACGGACCAAGGAGUCUAACAUGUGCGCGAGUCGUAGGGUUGCUAACGAAAUUGCAAUAGACCCGAAGGCGCAAUGAAAGUGAAAGUCGGUACUGUCUGGCCGACUGAGGCGGGAUCCGUCUGGGCUGUCGCCGCAGCUCUUCGGGGCUGCGGGAGCCUGGCGGCGCACCGCCGGCCCGUCUCGACCGCUUCUCGUCGGCGAGGCGGAGCAAGAGCGCACACGUUGGGACCCGAAAGAUGGUGAACUAUGCUCGGGCAGGACGAAGCCAGAGGAAACUCUGGUGGAGGUCCGUAGCGAUUCUGACGUGCAAAUCGAUCGUCGGACCUGAGUAUAGGGGCGAAAGACUAAUCGAACCGUCUAGUAGCUGGUUCCCUCCGAAGUUUCCCUCAGGAUAGCUGGCACUCGGUGAGGAACGCAGUCUCAUCCGGUAAAGCGAAUGAUUAGAGGCCUUGGGGCCGAAUCGACCUCAACCUAUUCUCAAACUUUCAAUGGGUGAGAAGUCCGGCUUGCCUGACUGAAGCCCGGACUAAAUCUGAUCCGACGGGUGUCUUCCUGUGCCGCUGUCGGGGAGCAAUCCUUCGGCGUGUGGCACGGGUUCCCCGCUCGGUACGGAUGCGAGUGCCCAGUGGGCCAAUUUUGGUAAGCAGAACUGGCGCUGUGGGAUGAACCAAACGCCGGGUUACGGCGCCCGAUGCGGACGCUCAUCAGACCCCAUGAAAGGUGUUGGUUGCUAUAGACAGCAGGACGGUGGCCAUGGAAGUCGGAAUCCGCUAAGGAGUGUGUAACAACUCACCUGCCGAAGCAACUAGCCCUGAAAAUGGAUGGCGCUCCAGCGUCGAGCCCAUACCCGGCCGCCGGGGCAAAAAAAAGAAAUGAAAAGGCUACAAAUGCCCCGGCGAGUAGGAGGGUCGCGGCGGUGUGCGUCGAAGGUGUCGGGCGUAGGCCUGCCUGGAGCCGCCGCCGGUGCAGAUCUUGGUGGUAGUAGCAAAUACUCGAGUGAGAACCUUGAGGACUGAAGUGGAGAAGGGUUCCAUGUGAACAGCAGUUGAACAUGGGUCAGUCGGCCCUAAGGAAUAGGGGAAACCCGUUCCGAAGCGGGGUGUUCGUGCUAAACGAAUCAGUUCUUUUCGACCGAAAGUGAAAAAACACGACCCCGGCUGACCGAAAGGGAAUCGGGUUAAUAUUCCCGAACCCGGAUGCGGAAGUCGGACCCUUCGGGGUCCAAAGCGGUAACGCAAACGAACUCGGAGACGUCGGCGGGGGUCCCGGGAAGAGUUGUCUUUUCUUUGUAAGGAACGGACUCCCUGGAAUCGGCUCGCCCGGAGAGAGGGAUGUUGUUUCCGUAAAGCACCGCGGCUCUUGCGGUGUCCGGAGCGCUCCCGCCGACCCUUGAAAAUCCGAGGAAGAGAAUAUGAUUUUCGCACCGGACCGUACCCAUAUCCGCAGCAG